rnacentral:rRNA from 1 species
UACGUAGGUGGCGAGCGUUAUCCGGAAUGAUUGGGCGUAAAGGGUGCGUAGGUGGUUUAUUAAGUCUGGUGUAAAAGGCAGUGGCUCAACCAUUGUAUGCAUUGGAAACUGGUAGACUUGAGUGCAGGAGAGGAGAGUGGAAUUCCAUGUGUAGCGGUGAAAUGCGUAGAUAUAUGGAGGAACACCGGUGGCGAAAGCGGCUCUCUGGCCUGUAACUGACACUGAGGCUCGAAAGCGUGGGGAGCAAACAGG